UUACGGGAGGCAGCAGUGGGGAAUAUUGCGCAAUGGGGGAAACCCUGACGCAGCAACGCCGCGUGGAGGAAGAAGGUCUUCGGAUUGUAAACUCCUGUCUUCUGGGACGAUAAUGACGGUACCAGAGGAGGAAGCCACGGCUAACUACGUGCCAGCAGCCGCGGUAAUACGUAGGUGGCGAGCGUUGUCCGGAAUUACUGGGCGUAAAGGGCGCGUAGGCGGCUCUUUAAGUUAGAUGUGAAAACCCAGGGCUUAACUCUGGGACUGCAUUUAAAACUGAAGGGCUCGAGUGCAGGAGAGGUAAGUGGAAUUCCUAGUGUAGCGGUGAAAUGCGUAGAUAUUAGGAGGAACACCAGUGGCGAAGGCGACUUACUGGACUGUAACUGACGCUGAGGCGCGAAAGCGUGGGGAGCAAACAGGAUUAGAUACCCUGGUAGC
rnacentral:rRNA from 1 species